GAUGAACGCGUAGCGGCAGGCUUAAUACAUGCAAGGUCGAGGGGCAUCAAGGUACACGAAAGUGUAUUGUUGGCGACCGGCGGACGGGUGAGUAAUAGGUAGGUAACCUACCUCAUACUGAGGCAUAGCUGGGAGAAAUUCCAGGUAAUUCCUCAUGAGGUUAUAUGACACAUGUGAUAUAAUCAAAGGUAUCGCAAGGUACUGGUAUGAGAUGGGCUUACUGACCAUUAGCUAGUUGGUGAGAUAAGAGCUCACCAAGGCGAAGAUGGUUAGGGGUUUUGAGAGAGAGAUCCCCCACAUUGGAACUGAGAUACGGUCCAGACUCCUACGGGAGGCAGCAGUAGGGAAUAUUGGGCAAUGGGCGGAAGCCUGACCCAGCCAUGCCGCGUGAAGGAAGACGGCCUUAUGGGUUGUAAACUUCUUUACUACGCGAAUAGAGGUUAGUACGAGAUACUAAUAGGAAGGUAGUGUAGUAAAAAGCACCGGCUAACUCCGUG
rnacentral:rRNA from 1 species